GUGAAAUUCCAAUCGAACCUUGAGAUAGCUGGUUCUCUUCGAAAUAGCUUUAGGGCUAGCGUAUAGUAUUGUUUAAUGGGGGUAGAGCACUGAAUGUGGAAUGGCGGCAUCUAGCUGUACUGACUAUAAUCAAACUCCGAAUACCAUUAAAAUUAAGCUAUGCAGUCGGAACGUGGGUGAUAACGUCCACGCUCGCGAGGGAAACAACCCAGAUCGUCAGCUAAGGUCCCAAAAUUGUGUUAAGUGAGAAAGGUUGUGAGAUUUCAUAAACAACUAGGAAGUUGGCUUAGAAGCAGCCACCUUUUAAAGAGUGCGUAAUUGCUCACUAGUCAAGAGAUCUUGCGCCAAUAAUGUAACGGGACUCAAACACAAUACCGAAGCUACGGGCACAUUAUGUGCGUUAGGAGAGCGUUUUAAUUUCGUUGAAGUCAGACCGUGAGGACUGGUGGAGAGAUUAAAAGUGAGAAUGCCGGCAUGAGUAACGAUUCAGAGUGAGAAUCUCUGACGCCUAUUGGGAAAGGUUUCCUGGGGAAGGUUCGUCCACCCAGGGUUAGUCGGGUCCUAAGAUCAGGCUGAAAAGCGUAGUCGAUGGAUAACAGGUUAAUAUUCCUGUACUUGGUAAAAGAAUGAUGGAGUGACGAAAAAGGAUAGUUCUACCACUUACUGGAUUGUGGGGUAAGCAACAAGAGAGUUAUAUAGGCAAAUCCGUAUAGCAUAAUCUUGAGUUGUGAUGCAUAGUGAAGACUUCGGUCGAGUAACGAAUUGAAUGAUUUCAUGUUUCCAAGAAAAGCUUCUAGUGUUAAUUUUUUAUCAACCUGUACCGAGAACGAACACACGUUCCCAAGAUGAGUAUUCUAAGGCGAGCGAGAAAACCAAUGUUAAGGAACUCUGCAAAAUAACC
rnacentral:rRNA from 1 species